GCGGAGUGGAGCAGUUUGGUAGCUCGUCGGGUUCAUACCCCGGAGGUCGUAGGUUCAAAUCCUACCUCUCGCA
rnacentral:tRNA from 1 species